rnacentral:rRNA from 1 species
AGAGUUUGAUCAUGGCUCAGAGUGAACGCUGGCGGCAGGCCUAAUACAUGCAAGUCGAACGGCAGCACAGUGGAGCUUGCUCCAUGGGUGGCGAGUGGCGGACGGGUGAGGAAUACAUGGGAAUCUGCCCAGCCGUGGGGAUAACGUAGGGAAACUUACGCUAAUACCGCAUGCGCCCUUCGGGGGAAAGCCGGGGACCGUAAGGCCUGGCGCGAUUGGAUGAGCCCAUGUCGGAUUAGCUAGUUGGCGGGUAAAGGCCCACCAAGGCGACGAUCCGUAGCUGGUCUGAGAGGAUGAUCAGCCACACUGGAACUGAGACACGGUCCAGACUCCUACGGGAGGCAGCAGUAGGGAAUAUUGGACAAUGGGCGCAAGCCUGAUCCAGCCAUGCCGCGUGAGUGAAGAAGGCCCUCGGGUUGUAAAGCUCUUUUGUCCGGAAAGAAAAGCGCCGGGUUAAUACCCUGGUGUCCUGACGGUACCGGAAGAAUAAGCACCGGCUAACUUCGUG